GCCCGCACAAGCGGUGGAAGCAUGUGGUUUAAUUCGAAGCUACGCGAAGAACCUUACCCAGGUCUUGACAUCUUCUGCCAACCUAAGAGAUUAGGCGUUCCCUUCGGGGACAGAAUGACAGGUGGUGCAUGGUUGUCGUCAGCUCGUGUCGUGAGAUGUUGGGUUAAGUCCCGCAACGAGCGCAACCCUUAUUACUAGUUGCCAGCAUUCAGUUGGGCACUCUAGUGAGACUGCCGGUGACAAACCGGAGGAAGGUGGGGACGACGUCAAAUCAUCAUGCCCCUUAUGACCUGGGCUACACACGUGCUACAAUGGAUGGUACAACGAGUCGCGAAACCGCGAGGUUUAGCUAAUCUCUUAAAACCAUUCUCAGUUCGGACUGUAGGCUGCAACUCGCCUACACGAAGUCGGAAUCGCUAGUAAUCGCGGAUCAGCAUGCCGCGGUGAAUACGUUCCCGGGCCUUGUACACACCGCCCGUCACACCAUGAGAGUUUGUAACACCCAAAGCCGGUGGGGUAACCUUAGGAGC
rnacentral:rRNA from 1 species